rnacentral:lncRNA from 1 species
GGCUACAGUAGACUCAGAGGUCUUGAUGUUAUGUUUUUUCAAAAAACUGAAUUUCCCUAUUUGAUAAAUAGUAUUGAAAGAUUCUUCUGGAAUACUCCAGUUUUGAAGAUCAUUUUCAAUAAUGGCAAUCGGAGUUGCCGAAGAAGAAAGGUUAACAGUAUUUUUUACAUGGUUAUGCAUGAUUUGAACAAAAACUGCCUAGAGACUAACAGAGUAAACUUAGAUUCAUAAACAGACAUAUUAUUGUAAUCAAGUAUGCAAUGACUAAAUUAUAAUUAUGCAAAUACAUCUAUGGCUUAUGGGAUCUUAACAAGUUUUAAUGGCAUUACUCUAAAGACUGGCAAGUGUUUUCUCAGUGACGGGACCACCAAACAAGGUCUAACACGCUUCUCCUAAGCUUAACGACCUAUACUUUCAGGCUGACCAACGUCCUCACCGGAAAUUAAUCGGUUCUGAUAAACACUUAAACAGUAAAUAGAAACCCCGAACUUGCAUUAAAAUCCCUUUAUAAGACAAGAUAUAAAAACAUAAUUAGUAUUUAGGUAAAGCAUACUUAGAUUAAAAUAACAUAGUCUGAUUUAUAAAUCUAGUUUAGCUCAUGCUCUAGACAGAUUAUUUGUUUAGCUGCUCAUGCUAAACAAAUAACCGGCCAACAUGGCUUUGAUACCAGUUAAACGGAUCGUGAGUACUAUAUUUAAAGACGAAGAAAUAUGAACAAAAGACUUACAAAUUUUAUUGAAAACUUGUAGAAAACAUUACAAGAGAGAGAAUGGGCAGAGAGAAUUUCUUAGAAGGGGAAAUUUCUGAAUGCUCUU